UAAUACAUGCAAGUCGAGGGGCAGCAAGACACUUCGGUGUUGUUGGCGACCGGCGAACGGGUGCGUAAUGCAUAUGCAACCUACCUCGUACAGGGGGAUAGGCUCUGGAAACAGAGAUUAAUACCCCAUAUGGUCUUUUUUCUGCAUGGGAGAAAGAUGAAAGCUCCGGCGGUACGAGAUGGGCGUAUGCCCCAUUAGCUUGUUGGUGAGGUAACGGCUCACCAAGGCGAUGAUGGGUAGGGGUUCUGAGAGGAAGAUCCCCCACACUGGCACUGAGACACGGGCCAGACUUCUACGGAAGGCAGCAGUAAGGAAUCUUGGUCAAUGGGCGCAAGCCUGAACCAGCCAUGCCGCGUGCAGGAUGAAGGCCUCGAGGUCGUAAACUGCUUUUAUACGGGAGAAAUAAGGUUUUUGCGAAGACCGAUGAUCGUACCGUACGAAUAAGCACCGGCUAACUCCGUGCCAGCAGCCGCGGUAAGACGGGGGGUGCAAGCGUUGUCCGAAUUUAUUGGGUUUAAAGGGUACGUAGGCGGUCUGGUAAGU
rnacentral:rRNA from 1 species